GGCGAUAUGGCCGAGCGGUCUAAGGCGCCAGAAUCAGGACGAUUUGAAAAUACGUCUUCUAUCUGGUCCUCACGGGCGUGGGUUCGAAUCCCACUGUCGUCA
rfam:Dichomitus squalens LYAD-421 SS1 unplaced genomic scaffold DICSQscaffold_7, whole genome shotgun sequence.